UUAGAUGGAGUCUCGCUCUCUCGCCCAGGCUGAACUGCAGUGUCGCUAUCUGGGUUCACUGCAAGCUCCGCCUCCCGGGUUCACCACUCUCCUGCCUCAGCCUCCUGAGUAGCUGGGACUACAGGGCAAGGUUUUAAAUUAAGAAUUUUAUAUGCAUAUCACACAUAUAUGUAUCUAACAGUAAAGAAUGGGAAAGAGAUAAGCCAACAAACAAUAAGAAAAUGACUUCUAUGGGGAUAUAGAAAACAUGCAAUGAGUGCACUGCUGAAGGAGCAAUGGAAUGCCUGGGGAGUUGAGGAAGACUUUCCUAAAAGGCAGGAAUGAAAUAAGAUUCCAUCGUAAACAAAUAGGAGAAUGGAAUUCCAUGAAAAGUAUCAAUUGAAGAGGCCAUGUGUUCAAGAUGAUGGAGCUACCGAGUGGCAAAUCUUCCCUCAGCCGUGGACCAGUGUGUCACCAUAUAGAGAACAGUUACCCAGGAGUGUACUCAUCCUGUAUGAAAUUCGGGUCCAAAUUUCCUUGGUACUAAUAUCCCUGGAAGCAUCCCUCUGCCAAUAAUAACAUAGAUGUCGGUGGGUAAGUACCCCAACUUCCUUGACUUUUAGAUAGAAGAACUCUAAGCCAUGUUUUCCGAAGAGUCUUAGAGGAGUCAGAGCCCUGGCUGCCCAUAGUGGUACCUGCUCAUUAACCCAUUCAUAUUGGUUUCUUCCCUAUCCUAGUUUUCUUUUCUGACUCCUUUGCCAGUGAUUCCUAGAAUCACCCUGCAAAUAAACUAUUUCCACUCA
rnacentral:lncRNA from 1 species